rnacentral:lncRNA from 1 species
AAACAGUACAGUAACAAACAUGCCAUUUUGAUGUAUGUAUAUAUAUACUCGUUUUGCUAUUGUUUUUGACUUCGACUUUUAAUUGGUCACAAAAUUUUUGGAUAAUUUUUUUUAAAAUAAUUAUUUUAGUCCUUGCAGAGCAAGACAGCGGGAUGAAUGGUUUUCCACAAAAUCCAAAAGGAAUUAGGCAUCUUCAAAUUCGUCAGCGCAAACGUCACUGUUUUUCAGUGCCUCUCAUCACUUAUAAAAACACUUCGAUUUCCUUUCUUAGUUACUCCAAAUCCGACGUUCGUAAAAAAAGACCAGGUGAACUACCUACGAGCCGCCGUCACCACCAUGUCACAGCCUCAUUUCCUCCUAGUGACCUUCCCUGCACAAGGCCACAUAAACCCAACCUUACAAUUUGCCAAGCAUCUUAUACGUAUUGGCGUACGUGUAACUUUCGUCACCUGCAUCUCGGCUUGCCGCCGCAUGACCAAAGUCCCCACUGCUCAGGGCCUAACGUUUUUACCCUUUUCCGAUGGCUACGACGACGGUUUUCAACCCGGCGAUGACAUAGAACAUUACCUAUCUGAAUUGAGGCGACGAGGCAAAGAAGCCAUCUCCGAGUUUAUAACAAGCAGUGAAAACGACGGCAAAUCCGUCACUUGCAUUGUCAACACCCUGUUCAUCCAUUGGGCCUCGGAGGUGGCGCGUAAACAUCACAUCCCGACAGCUUUACUUUGGAUUCAACCCGCCACCGUUUUCGACAUCUAUUAUUUUUACUUCAACGGAUACGAAUCCACCAUUAAAGCUCCUGUUGAUGAAACAAACCCCAAGCGUUCAAUAAAAUUACCAGGCCUGCCGCUACUCGCCACUCGCGACCUUCCGUCGUUCGUCACCGCUUCAAACGUUUACCGUUGGGCACUGUCGUUGUUCCAAGAACAAAUGGAUGUCCUCGCUGAUGAAUCCAACCCCAAAAUCCUUGUUAACACAUUCGAUGCUUUGGAACACGAAGCAUUAAACGCCAUUGAAAAUUUCAACAUGGUAGGCAUCGGACCUUUAAUCCCAUCUUCUUUCUUGAACUCAAAUGACUCCUUGGAUAAUUCCUUGAGAACCGAUCUUUUUCAAUCCGAUUCAAAAGAUUACAUCCAAUGGUUAGACUCCAAACCAAAAUCGGCCGUCGUUUACGUUUCCUUCGGGAGCUAUGCUGUGUUAACGAAGCAACAAGUGGAGGAAAUCGCUCGAGCUUUAAUAUCCAGCCGGCGACCCUUUUUAUGGGUGGUGAGGAACCGGAAAAAUGGAGGCGAAGAAGAGAAAGAAGAAGAUAAACUGACUUGCAGGGAAGAAUUGGAACAGUUUGGGAUGGUGGUUCCAUGGUGUUCGCAAGUGGAAGUAUUGUUUCAUCCAUCGUUGGGUUGCUUCGUGACGCAUUGUGGGUGGAACUCGACGUUGGAGAGCAUGGCGGCCGGUGUACCGGUGGUGGCUUUCCCUCAAUGGACGGAUCAAAGGACUAAUGCGAAGCUGAUUGAAGAUGUGUGGGGGAAUGGGGUGAGAGUGAGUGCUAAUGAAGAAGGGAUGGUGGAACGUGAUGAGAUCGUUAGGUGCUUGGAUUUGGUGAUGGGGGAUGAUAAGAAAGGGAUGGAAGUGAAGAAAAAUGUAGAGAAAUGGAAACGGUUAGCCAGAGAAGCCGCCAUGGAAGGCGGCUCCUUGGAUAUGAAGCUUAAAGCUUUUGUGGAUGAUAUUGCUGAAGGAUAUCGUAAGUAAAAUUAUCACUUUCAAAUCAAUUCACUGUUUCAAUAGUAGUUAUUUAAACAGUUAUUAUCGUACCAUGAAACUUGAUUAGGUUUUGCCUUGUAGUAAACAUGCGAAGGACGACCCACCACACAAGUUUAUGCAGAUAUGGUUUUUUUUUUUUUUUUGUUUAAUUUUGCUACUAGUCUCUAUACUUUAUGAAAGUUAUGGAUUUAGUCUCAAUACUUUAAUUUGACCAUUUUUAGUCCUGCACUUUUCAAAAUGUUCAAUUUUAGUCCCUAUACUUUUAGUCUUUUGAAAUUUUAGUCCUGAACCAAAUAAUAGUAGUUAAAUUAUUUUGUUUAAAUUCAAUUACUAGUCAUGUCCUAUGUGUACAAUUAUAGAUUUAAUAAAUAUAUUUCCUAAUUGAAUCAUUUUAAGUCCCUAUUUUUUUCGAAUUCUAAAAUUUCCGUCUCGACACAAAUGAUAGUCACUAAUCCAUUAACUAAAAUUUCAGUAAGUAAUAUGUGAAAAUAUCAAACAGAAAUGCCAUUACACAUAUGAUAAUAUGUUUGUUGCAUCAAAUUUUGAAAAUAACAGAAUUUAAUGAAUUUAACAAUUAUCGUUUAGUGAAGGCUGAAAUUUUAAAAUUUAAAAAGUAAGAGAAUUAAAAAUGACCAAAUUAAAGUAUCAGUAUUAAAUCUGCAACUUUUGUUAAGUAAGACUAAUAAUAAAAUUUAACCUUAUUUUUUUCUUGAAAGAAAUUGAAAGUGACCAUUUAAGUAUAUAAUAUGUGAUUGGGAUUGGAGAAUAUGAAUGGUGUGAUAGAUUUUGAAUGUAGGAAACAAAAUUUUUUGAAAUGUGGUUGUAGGAUGGAGUGGGUUGGAUUUAUUUGUGUGUGGUCAAUGUAUAACUCUUUGCCUUUAUACUAUAUAAAAGUAUCAUUUUAUCCGUUUAAUAUGUAUAACUAUUUAAAUAUGUAGAAAUGUGAAAAUGUAUUAUAGAAAAGCCUUUAUGUUUAAUUUUUUUUAAAAUUUUAUGUUCUAAAGUCACUAAAUUAUUAGUAAAUUUAUGUUUUGAUUACUCAACUUCAAAAAGUUACAAAAUGGUCAUGAGUUAUUAGAAAAUUUUCAUUUCAGUUGUUCAACUAUUCAAAACUUUUUUUGUUUAAGUCAUUACGCUGUUAAGUUCUUUCUAAGUUCAAUUAAUGAGCUCCAACCGAUGAUUUAACAAUCGUAUGGUGGAUUAGUACUCAUCGACGAGUAGAGGAAAUCCCUUGAGAUUUUUUAUCCAGUCGGCAACCAUUUUCAUGGGUGGUGAGGAACUGGAAAGAUGGAGGCUACGAAGAGAAAGAAAAAGAUAAACUGGCUUGCAGGGAAGAAUUGGAACAGUUUGGGAUGGUGGUUCCAUGGUGUUCGCAAGUGGAAGUAUUGUCUCAUCGUCGUUGGGUUGCUUCGUGACGCAUUGUGGGUGAAACUCGACGUUGGAGAGCAUAGUGGCCAGUGUAUCAAGGGACUAAUGCGAAGCUGAUUGAAGAUGUGGGGGGAAUGGGGUGAGAGUGAGUGCUAAUGAAGAAGGGAUCAUGGAACGUGAUGAGAUUGUUAGGUGCUUGGGUUUGGUGAUAGGGGAUGGGGAGAAAGGGAUGCAAGUGAAGAAGAAUGUUGAGAAAUGGAAAGGGUUAGCGGGGGAGGCCGCCAUGGAAGGCGGUUCCUUGGAUAUCAACCUUAAAGUUUUUGUGGAUGAUGUUGCUCAAGGUUGUUGCAAGUAAAUUUAUCUUUUCAUAUAAUUAUCUACAUUUAUAUCUCGAAUUCUUAAAUCAAGAAAUAAUAUGUUUGAAAACGAUCAAAUUCCUUUUGUUGUAAUAAUAAUAAUAUCAAAUGACCUAAAAUUCGAUGAAAUGUUACAAAUUAAUUUUUAAUUUAUGUUUGUAUUAAAUUUACGCUUAAAUUAAUUUUGGGUUAUGGUGUAAGUUUUUUUUAAAAAUAAUUUUAAUGGUCAAAUUUAAUUAAUAACACCAUCAAUUGGAUUUUAAAUUUUAAGUCAAACAAGAGACAAAAGUUUAAAAAUUAAAAGUAGCGGAUUAAAUGUUAAAAAAAAUUGCAAAAGAGUACAAGAAUUGGGGGUAUACUUAGAAAAAAUAUUAAAAUUUUCUUUUCUCCUCCAAUAGUAGAAUCUAAAGUUACGCACCUUUAUAAAAUUAAAAAAGAGUUAAUUGUCCAAGAUAAAUAUUAAAUAAUAAUAUUUAUAGACUCGAGUACAUGAAAUUUAUUGUUGGUCAUUGAAUUUAUCAUUUAACAAUUACUUUUGUUUUGGCUAUUGAGAAAAUUUUCUAGCCCUUAUAAUAUAUAUAUCUCCAUAUUAUUGGAUGUGUUACUUUUUAUUAAAUUACAUUGCCUAAGGUUGCUUAUUGCGAUUAUGGUAAUUUGCUGCAUCAUCCCCUGACUAAUUCUUCUCAUUUUUAGUGUUAGCAUUCUUCUGCUUAAAAUCUGGGUCUCAUGUUGCUUUUUGAGCAUCACUAUACCAUUCUCCUCUUUAACCCACCGAAAAAUCUAGUAGGAGCUUUUGCUUCCGAUUCUGGAGAAGUUUCCUCCCUCAAAAGUACCCUAUCGGCUUCAGGAGAUGCUGCCUCAUCAAAAGUGUAAUAGCCCGAAUUUGGGCCUAGUCGAAACAGUAGUUUCGGGACCACAAAUGUAAUAUUUCAAAAAUUUCUAUAGUAAGAUAUUAUCCUUGGUAUAGUAAAAUAAGGAAAUAAAGUAAAAAAAAAGGGGGAAAUUUUGAGUUAUGUCAACAUUGAGAAGUAUGACAUAUUAAUGCAAUAAAGGAUUAAAUCGCAAAAGUGAGAAAAGUAUUGAGGGAUUAAAGUGUAAAUAUGAAAAAGUUGAAGGACCAAAGGUCUAAAUAUUUUAAGGGUGGAAUGAUCUAGAAACUAAGGAAAAUGGAUGAAUUAGGACCAAAUUGAAUAAGAUAAGAAUUAUGAGGGACUAAAUCGUAAUUUUACCAAAUUAAGUGUGACUCAAUGAUGGAAUUUUAAAAGAUUAUGAAGGGCAAAAUGGUCAAUUAGAAGAGAGAGAAAUCUAGAAGGCAAUGAUGAUGUUGGUGAUAUUUUAGAUUAAUUAAUUAAAUAAAUAUUAGUUCAUUAAUAUUUUAAUAUGAUUUUUAAAUGAUAUUUUAUUAAUUUAUUAUUAUUCUAUUUAGUAUAUAUAUGAAAGGAAAGAUGAGGAAUUAUCAUCUUCUUCCCCAUGCAACCAACGUAUGAAGAGGAAAGAAAGAAAGAAACUUUCUUUUCUUUACAAUUUGGUCCUUUUAUAAAAAAUUCACCAUUUUCGCUUAGAAAUUAAAAGAAUUUCCAUAUCCAUCAAGAGAGAAAGAUAACAAGGAGACUAUGGGGAGCUAGAAUAUCAAGUUAGAUUCAAGAAAUAGAAGCUGGAGGAGGGAGAAAAUCAAGUUAAAGAUUGAAAUCAAUUGAGCAAGGUAAGAAUAUCAAGAUUUCAAUAUAUUUUUGAGUUUGAUAUUAUUGAAAAGGCAUGAAAUUGAUGUUAAUGUAGAGUUUUAUUAUAUAAGGUUUUAUGUUCUUGGUAUGUUAGUGAAGAGAAAAUAAGAGAAAGUGAUGAGAAAUAGUGUAGAGAAAGAAAAUAAGAGUGUUAUAAACUUAGUAAUCAAUAUUUUACACUAAAACAGUUUGGACAGCAGCAGUAGGUUAACUUUGAAAAAUCCCCAAAAAUUGUGGGAAUUGAAUUAGAAGAUGAAUAAAAUAUGAAAUUAAAGCUUAUUGAGUCUAGUUUCUCAUAAAAGAAAUGGUGUAAGCAAUAGAAUUUUAAAUCAUGAUAUAUAAUAAAUUUUGUGAGACAAUAUCAGAAUGAUUUUGGGUUCCCCUGUUCUAACUUUGGAAAAUCAUAAAAAAUUGAAGAAAAAUAAUUAUGAGUUAUAAUUUAUAUGAUUAGAAUCCUUAAUAAAUCUAUUUUCAAAUUAAAUAAACAUAAAAAUCAUCCAAAUUCUGUACAAUUAGAUAAUUCAUUUUUAGUGAAGAGUGGUCGGAACUGUCAGAUAGAAAAAUAGGGGAAACUUUAAAGAAUAAACUGUACUAUUUGGAUGAACCAAAAAUUCUGAAAAUUUUAUGGCAAUAAGAUAUAUGAGUCUAGUUUCAGGGAAAAUUAAUGGAUCUUAAUUUGGAUUUCUAUAGCUCAAGAUAUAAAUGAUUUAGUAACUAUGACUCAAAUGGACAGCUUUGAAUAAAUUUACAAGAAAAUAGUGAAAUUAUAGAUAAUGUUACUUAUAAGCAUGUUAUGUAAAUUAAGGAUGUGGAAUGGAGAGUGUACAAGCCCAAUUUUUGACCCAGGGCCCAAUAACAAAUUUUAACCUAAAAAAACUACCCAGGCCCAACUAGCCUAACCCAAUCAGCCCAAAACAUAAACACCUAGCAGAAACCCUAGCCCCCUGUUGUGCCGCACCUGCUCCUGGCCGCCUCACCUGCUCCGCCGUUCACCUGCUUUCUGCCAUUGCCCAACUGCCCACCUGCAAACGAGUAAAGAAAGCAGCAACAACAACAAUGAAAAGAGGAGAAAUGACAGUGGUGUAAAAAAAAAAUGGGUACACAAAUGGGUAUAUAAAAAAGGGCGGGGAUCACCGAAAGAGGGUCUUUUCCUUUUCUUUUGUAAUUUUUUCACAACACAACAGUUAAUGAAAAAAGGCAGAGAAAACAUUUAAAGGUGGAUUCAGACUUUUUAUUCUUUUUUUUGUUUGUUUUUAUGUUUGCUUGUUUAUAUAUAUAUACGAAUCUAUCUCAACAAAAACGAAAAUAAAAAAGAGAAAGAGAGAAACUCACCGGGGGGCUUUGAAAACCCGUCAUCGCGCUUCGCCGGCCGUCGAUCUGGUGGCCGUGCGGCGGAUGUGCGAACGGUGGCAGCUAAGGAGGGCUUUUAAAAAAAACCCUAACAGAGAAAAAGCUAGAGGCUUUUUUGUUUUUUUUUAUCUGCUAUUACAAAGUGUAUUUUUUAGGGGAAAUUUUAAUUUAAAUAGGAUCAGCUAAACGGCGCCGUUUUGGGUGGGAAAACCCCCGCGCGCGACCCGACCCGCGUCUCAGGAUCCACGUGUUUUGAUGAUUGGGUUAUUUACCCAUUUGGCCCUUCCGCCCUUUUGGGGUGUUUCAAUCUAGUCCUAUUUACAUUUUUAGAUUUUAUAAUUUUCGCCCAAAUUAUUUUUAGCGUUUUUGAUUUAGUCUUGCACUCAUAGAAUGGACACGUGUCCUAAUAAUUGGGAUAUUUUCCGUUUUGGCCCUCCGUCCUUUCGCGCGAGUCACAUUUUGGUCCUUUUCGUCCUUUUUAUUCCAAAUUCGCCCGGUAUUUCCUUUUUUUAUUUUAUUUCGAUUUAGCCCUUUUUUAGUCGCUUUAUUAUUUUGUUUAUUUUAUUAUUAUUAUUAUUAUUAUUAUUAUUUACUAUUAUUAUCUUUACUAUUAUUGUUAGUAUUAUUACUACUAUUAUUAUUACUAUCAUUAUAUUUACACCUAUAUUUACUUAUAUAAAUCUUAGAUAAUAGGUGAUAUAUUAUAUUAUUAUAAAAUUGCGUAUAUACGUACAUGUAUAUGUAUUCUUUUAACUAAUUUUAUAUAUACAUACAAAAUCAUAUUUUCGUAUAUUUUUUAAUUUGUAUAUACAUAUACUUAUAUCUAUAUUUUCUAAUUUUUAUAAAUAUAUUUAUAUGUACAUACUUAUAUUUUUUAUAUACUUUCUAAUUCGUAUAUACCUAUUUACAUCUAUAUUUUUAAUAUAUUUUAAACAUAUAUAUAAAUAUCACUAUUUACUUUUUUAUUUUUAUUUUUUAUUAUUAUUUUCAAAUUUUGAUGUAUACUUACAUAUAUAUAUCUUUACAUUUUUAUAAUUUUAUUCAUUUAUUUAUUUACAUUUUCAUUAUUAUUUUGAACGAAUGCUUUAAUUUUAUUUGCUUGUAUACAUUGCUAUUUCGUAUGUUAUUGGUCUGUACCUUUUAUUUUUCUUAUUUUCGUUGCUAUUACUUGCAUUGUUUUUACAUCAUCGUAUUCAUAUUUAUUUAGUUACGCAUAUUAACAUCGUAUCUUAUUUUUACUGUUUCGUGAAAAAAAUAUUUCAUUCAAUGUAUGAAUUAUAACUUUUUGAGUAAACAAAAUUUCGUGUUUAGAUUUGAGAAAGUCGUACCCUAACUUACUGGGUUUCGACUUUCACAACAAAUCUAAAGACACGAAUCUUUUUAAACUCAAAUUUUAAAUGAUCUCGGGAUUAAAAAUCGCGUCCUAACUUACUGGUCGUGAUCUCAUUUUCAAAUCCGAGAUGGCUAAACCUAUCUUUUAAAUAAGCAUUUUUAUUCGCGUAUCGAGAACUCGAGACGUUGUAUCCUAACUCACUGGAUAUGAUGUCUUUUCUCGAUUAACGUGAAAUAUGCCACUUUUUCCAAGAUUUUCAACUUUUUAAUACAAAGAUCAUAUUUUUAAAAUUCUUUUAAAUUAUCAAUUUUCGACAUUAAGACAUUAAGUAAUCAACUAGGUACCAAUUUUGGGCGUAUCGAGGGUGCUAAUCCUUCCUCGUGCGUAACCGACUCCCGAACCCGUUUUCUAAAUUUCGUGGACCAAAACCGUUGUUUUAAUAAAAUCAAACCGUUUAUUAAAAACAACCCCUCUUCGAGGUGAUCCAAUCGCACCUCAUAAAAAAAAGAGGAUUGGUGGCGACUCCCGUUUCUUUUUUCAAAACCCAAGUCAACCCCGUUUUUCAUCCAAAAAAUGGUGUCAACAGCUUGGCGACUCCACUGGGGACACAGAUAAGAGGGUCAAGCCACGUGGUGAUUACUUUUUGUCUUUUGUCAAAAAUUGAAAAUUCGGUUUAAAAUUACGAUCCUUUCAUCGCAUUUUAUCUGUCUUUAUCAUAAUCAUCACCAUUAGGGUUUAUAUUUGCUCUGUUUGUUUAAAUUUUGGUAUCUUUCCGCAUUUCAUUGCAUGACCGUUGGUCACACCUUUAAGUGGGAGUGAGAAGCUACGCCUUCGUGAGGUUUUCACCUCCGCAUGGGAUAGUGAAUCGCUUUCGGGAUAUAUCCGUACCUAUGUCUUCGUGAGAUUUUCAUCUCCGCAUGGCCAUAGAGAAAUGUAUCCCCCUGAAUCGAACUUGGUCCGUAUGAGCCUAUAAUGGGUGAGGAUCGAGGAAUUUGCUGGUUCAGGUACCCUACUUUAGAACCAAACCACAUGUAAUGAGCCAUAGGAACCGACCUAGGUAGAGCUACUCCAAAUUUUUAGUGCUUACCUAAAUGAAUGUUGUAUUUAUUUGUCGCUUAUUUUAAAUCUUAUUCUGUGUUUAAUGUUAAUUUACUUUGUUUGUGAUUGCAUGGCAUCUUCAUUCUAAAAGAGGUGUCGAUUUACGUUCAGUUUCUUGGUAGAAAGCUUAUCAUGGAAAAGGGGUUUGUUGAUAAAGUAGAGGAUAAUGCGGCUGUGCAAAUAUGGGCUGAAACGACACAACGAGAGAAAGGCGAUAGUCUUACCGAAGGGUACGUGUCAGAAUUGUGGGAUUUUACCCGUAUCAGUGUAAUCCAGAAUGACCUUCGAGAAAUGAAAGAAGUCUGGGAUCAAUGGGAUGUCGAGGCCAAGCAGCUGUUCUAUUGUAACUACGGUGACCUACCUUAUCUGCUUAGUGUCAAAGUGGACAAGUAUUUAUUCCGAGCCCUUGCUCAGUUUUGGAAUCCUGCCUACAGUUGUUUCACUUUUGGGAAGGUAGAUUUGACGCCUACUGUGGAGGAGUAUACGACCUUGCUUCGGUGUCCAAAGAUUCAAGUCGACAAGGCUUAUUCCAAAGCUGCUUGUGUCCCUCCGUUGUUAAAGAAAUUAAUGAACAUCACUGGGAUGAGCGAGCAGUGGGUCGCUGUCCGGAUCCAACAGAAGAGCGACAGUAAAUGUGUUCCUUGGAAAAGUUUGCGAGAUUUGGUGCUUGUACAUCCUGACUUAAAGAAAAGGGUCGAUAUCUUCGCUUUAGGUAUCUAUGGACUAGUGGUUUUCCCCAAAGCUUUAGGACACAUAGACGAGGCUGUAUCUGAUUUGUUUGAUCGGCUUAGUAAAGGGGUUACACCGGUUCCGGCAAUACUCGCUGAAACUUUUAGAUCCUUGAAUGCGUGUCGAAAAGCAGGGGAGGGAAGGUUUAUUGGAUGCGCACAGCUCUUAUUGGCAUGGUUCCAUAGCCACUUCUGGAAAGUCGAAAAGGUCUCUUAUCGGGUAUUCUCCGAUAGCUACUCCCCUCUAGGAGAAUUGGUGGCCACGCCAAGACGGGAUGAUAUUUCAGAAGAAAAAUGGAUAGAGAUACUCCAGAAUCUCCAAGAUGAAGAUAUUGAAUGGAGGGCUCCUUGGUUAAUUCCUGAUGAGAUAUUGUACCGAUGUGGAGAUUUUGACUGGGUUCCGCUGCUCGGGAUAUGGGGAGCUAUCGGAUAUGCUCCUCUACUCGUAUCAAAACAGUAUAGAUCACGACAAUUCAUACCAGCAACCCAGGGGUUAGCUUAUAGUGAUUUUUCCUAUAGGGAGGACAAUUACAAGAAGAAGGUUCGAGAAAUAUCUAGUGCCUGGAACCAGACUCGUCGAAUGAAGAUCUUAGCCGUGGGUCCGACAAUUACCCCCGAGUAUGGUCAGUGGCGUGAUCAAAGGAUCAACGACAACAUCCCGGCGUCAAAUCCAGAAACUGCUCGAUCUUUGGAGGAACACUUACAAGUUUUGCCUUCUGAGAUAGAAAUCAUCAAACAAGAAUUCGAAAAAAGGAGUUUAGAAUUGGGGAAGAAGAUAGAACAACUAGAGGAAGAAAAAAUGCAGUUAGGACUGGAUGUGGACAUUCAAAGAUUAGAGGCCAACAAAUUGAGAAAAGGAAAGAACAAAGCAGAAGAAGAUUUGGACAGCCUGAAGACAGAUUACAAGAAGUUGCGUAGGUCGGUAAGAGCUGCUGGCUUGGGUAAAACGCCAGAACAAUGGCGACAAGAAAUUCAGGAGGAAAAGACGAAAGCUAAUCAAUGGGAAAAGAAAUUUCAGGAUACUCGGGCUCGAGAGGUCGCCUUGGGAAAGAGUCUACUAGUUUGCCAAGACGAGAAGACGGAGUUGAAGGUCCGGAUAACCGAACUAGAAAGAUCGCUUCACCAGUACUGUAAUCGUAAUGCUACGGUUGAAUUAAGGGCGAGCUUAGACAAAAUUGAAUAAUUAAAAAGACAAAUAGGAGGGCUAGAGAACGCAUUGCAAAAUAGUGAAAUCCGGAUAGAGCUUCUGGAAGAAAGUAAUGAGCAGUGGCAAAGACAAUUCCGUCGGUCUCAAGAGCAGAUUGGAGAAAGAGAUUAUAUUAUGGGAGAGGCGGUGAGUCAAGUGCGCGAAGUAGCUGAUCAUCUGUAAACUCUAGCGGUUCAGGCUGAUCUAUUAAGUUUGAAGUAUGAGUCAGAGUCGGACAGGGGCCGAGAAUUAGCUUGACUUCUUAGAAAGGUUAAGGCUUUGAGUGUGAGGGCAAAGCCAUAUAUGUAGUCUAUUUUAUGUAAAAAAACUCUUUAUCUAGUAAAGUUUUCUAAUGAAGUUGAAUUAGAAUCAGUGCCUCUUUUUCUUUGCAUCCUUUUCAUGCAUUGCAUCACAUCACAUGCAUUAAUGACCAUUAAAAACCUAAUCGAAUAAAAUCAUUUCAGUUAACCUGGAAAACCAACAAAGUUACGGCACCCGAGCUAAGACAAAAAUUAUGGACCAAAGGUUGGAGAAGCUAGAGCGACUUCAAAGAGAAAUGCAAGACCAGUUGCAGGCGCAAAUGAAAGAGCAAAUAGAAAAGAUUCAGCGUGACAUGGUGCAAAAGAUGGAGGAGUCCCAAAAUGAUCUGGUGGCUAAGAUGACGCAACUAUUGAAGGGAGUAGAUAAGGGUAAAGGUCCUGUGAUUGUUAGUGAAGAAGAAAACAAUGGUGAACCACUUUAUCCUCCAGGUUUCACGCCUCCGCAUGCGCAAGUACAGACUGAGCUGCAUCCGCGGAGACCCUCUGUGUCGGUUAGGCCCCAGCAGUUCCAAGGCGAUGCUUCAAUCCCAAUGAAUUUUCAACCCGGAGCGGGCCUUAAUCCCGGUGAUAGCCCGAAUAAUAUUGCUGUCCCAGAUCUUGACGAGAUGGUUGAAAAGGAUAAGGCGAAGGAGGAAUUUCCAAAACAAUUUGAGGAGAAAUGGAAAUGGAUAGAAGAGAAGUUUAGGGCAAUAGAAAGCAUCGAAAGCUAUGGAAUAGAUGCAAAGGAUCUAAGCUUGGUUCCGGACUUGGUGCUCCCUUACAAAUUUAAGAUGCCGGAAUUUGAGAAAUACAACGGGACUAGUUGCCCAGGAUCCCAUAUUACUAUGUUUUGUAGAAGAAUGACGGGGCAUAUUAAUAAUGAUCAAUUAUUAAUACAUUGCUUUCAGGAAAGUCUUACGGGAGCGGCGUCAAAGUGGUACAAUCAGCUGAGCCGAGCUAAAAUUGCUACUUGGAGGGAUUUAGCACAGGCUUUCCUGAGACAAUACAAUCAUGUCUCAGAAAUGAUGCCUGACAGGAUAACUCUGCAAAAUUUAGAGAAGAAAUCGAACGAAAGCUUCAGACAAUAUGCGCAGAGGUGGCGAGAGGUGGCAGUUCAGGUGCAACCACCGCUUUUGGAAAAAAAGAUGACGACGCUUUUUAUUAAUACUUUGAAAGCCCCGUUCAUCACUCACAUGUUGGGAAGCGCUUCAAAAAAUUUCUCGGAUAUAAUCAUGAAUGGUGAAAUGAUUGAGCAUGCCAUUAAAAGUGGAAAAAUAGAUGGAGGAGAAAAUAAUAGGAGGGCACCCUUGAGGAAAAGAUAAAAUGAAGUGAAUAAUGUGAAUGCUUAUGGUAGGUCAAUUACCGUGAAUCAACCAAAGAAAGUGGUUGCUAAUCAACAGGGAUCAUCAAGACAAGAGUCGGGAGCUAGGUAAACUACUGAAAAGCCCCAAUUCACGCCAAUCCCGAUGUCAUACAAAGAGUUGUAUCAGACUUUAUUCGAUGCACAUGUUGUUGCUCCUCGUUACUUGAGUCCUCUACAACCCCCGUAUCCAAAAUGGUAUGAUAUGAACGCGCAAUGUGAUUAUCAUGUGGGAAUUUCUGGGCACUCGAUAGAAAAUUGUACUGCCUUCAAGAAGGUAGUAGAAGGACUUAUCAAUUUAGGUGUCGUCAAACUUGACGACUCACCUAAUGCAAAGAAUCCGUUACCUAAUCACGCAGAUAAGGGGGUGAAUAUGGUUAGCGAAGAUACGGGAGAAGAAGUCAAGACUGACAUUGCUGAAGUAAAAACUCCAUUGAAACGGGUCUGGAAAGAAAUGGCGAAAAGAGGUUUGGUUAUUUCAGAUUCUGAGGAAGGGCAUGAGAUGGGAAAUUAUUGUGAAUUUCACCAUAAAACAGGGCACGAAAUCCAAGAAUGUGAAGGAUUUAAGGCUUUGGUUCAAAGCAUGAUGGAUAACAAGGAAAUGAGGUUUUACGAAGAUGCGAAAGAAAUGAGGAGCAUAUGCGCGACAGAGUUGGGAACAAAGGCUCCAAAAAUAAAUCAUCCUGUGGUCAUUAUCUCACGCCCUAAGGGUAAUGAGGUUAGGGCUCAGGUAACACCGAAAAUUGUAAUCCAGAAACCAUCAAAUUUCUCUUAUAGGGAUAACAAAAUGGUGCCGUGGAAUUACGGGUGUAAUGUGACCAUUUUGGGAAAAGAAGCAGAAAGAAAUCAGGAAAUAGGUUCUUACACGCGUAAUGGAAAAAGAUGUGACGCUCAAGCAGAGUCGUCCAGGGAAGAGAAUUGGAAGAAAGAACAGAGGAAAGGGAAAGCAGUAGAAGUUGAACCAUUGGUAAAUGAACCAAUAAAAGAAGAGGAGGCAAAGGAGUUUUUGAAGUUUUUAAAACACAGUGAAUACAAUGUUGUGGAGCAACUGCACAAACAGCCAGCCCGCAUUUCUGUAUUAGCUUUACUCUUAAACUCAGAAGUACAUCGGAAUGCACUAUUAAAGGUGCUAAACGAAACAUAUGUGGCUGACGAUAUUUCGGUAAACAAGCUGGAUCGACUGAUCAACAAUAUUGGUGCUGACAAUUUUAUCUUCUUCAGUGAUGAUGAAAUACCAUCCGGAGGAAGAGGUUCUACUAAAGCCCUGCAUGUUACUGUCCGAUGCAAAGGGUACACACUCCCGGGGGCCUUGGUUGAUAAUGGAUCUGCACUAAAUGUAUUGCCUUUGUCCACUCUUAGUCGAUUACCAAUAGACAGUUCGCACAUGAAAGCAUGCCAGAGCAUAGUAAGGGCAUUUGAUGGAACAAAAAAGGAGGUUAUGGGGAGAAUUGAGGUACCAUUAAGGAUUGGCCCAGUCACUUAUGAGGUGGAUUUCUUGGUAAUGGAUAUUAAACCCUCCUACAACUGUCUAUUGGGGAGACCGUGGAUACACUCAGCAGGGGCAGUACCUUCAUCAUUACAUCAGAAGGUGAAGUUGGUAUCGGAGGAUCGGUUGGUAACAAUAGAUGCAGAGGAGGAUAUUAUCGCAAUGAUGACUAGCGAUGCACCUUAUGUGGACAUCAACGAUGAGACACUAGAAUGUUCUUUUCGGUCGUUAGAAUUUGUGAACGCGAUGUUUAUUGCGGAGGGAAAUAGAAUUCCAGUACCGAAAAUAUCCAGGACCACUGAGAUGGGAUUGCGAUUGAUGGUAGGAAGAUGAGCCUUACCCGGGAAAGGAUUGGGAAAAUAUCUUCAGGGAAGGAUUGAGGCACCAAUGCCGAAGGAAAAGUUUGAUAGAUUUGGUUUAAGGUACAAGCCAGACAUGAAGCAGAAGAAGAAAGAAGUAGAGAAGAGACAAGAGAGAAGAAGGGCGCGUUUGAAUGGACAUGAAGCUAAGUGUGAGCCUUUAACCUUUCCCCACAUAUCUACAUCUUUUGUGUCGGGAGGAUUUAUUCAUUCUGAAUGUGGAGUGUCCGGUAGCGGCAUGGGAGGAAUGUUGGAAAACGUUUAUACUAACGCCAUAGAAGCAACGGAAAGGAGGGCUUUGUUGGAGAUCUGCCCUUAUGAGCCUGGAAGCGAGCUAAACAAUUGGACUGCUGAAGAAAUCCCUGUAGUCUUUAGGGCUUAUUCAGAGUAAUGCUCAAAACAUUCCUGUUGUUUGUUGGCCUAGAAACGAUAUGAAAUCUUUUGUGAAAUAGGCAUUGGGCCUAAAUAUCAUUAUUUUAAUGAAAUACGUGUCUACGUUCAUCUCGAUCAGUCACUUUUUUCUUUUAUAUUUUUCAUUUGGUUGAUUGUCUUACAAAUAAUUCUUUCAUUUAUAAUUCUUUUGCACAAACAUAUUCAUAAAUUUAUAUUCUUAGUAUAUUCUUUGAUCUGCCCUCAUAGGUCUUCAGAUAUCAAUGACAUGAGUGACGCUGCCUCAAACGCGGAGCCUAUUUUUGAGCAAGAAGUGUGUUCAGAGGGAUCCCACGACUUUGAAAAUGACGAAGAUUAUGAUGCAUCUCCGGACUUGUUAAGAAUGAUGGAACAAGAGGAUAAGCAUAUCCUACCUCAUAGGGAAUCGUUAGAAAUAGUGAGCCUAGAGGAUGGAAAUGAGGUGAAAAUUGGAACUGAAAUCACCGCAAAGACAAGGCAAGACCUCAUUAAUUUGCUCCGAGAGUUCAAGGAUGUUUUCGCGUGGUCGUACCAAGAUAUGCCUGGGCUAAGUACUAACAUUGUGGUGCAUCGUCUGCCCAUAAAGGAGGAUUGUAAACCCGUUCAACAGAAGCUUAGGAGAAUGAGACCUGACAUUGUGUUGAAAAUAAGAGAAGAAGUCAAAAGACAAUUCGACGCUAGUUUCUUACAAGAGGUCAAGUAUUCGGAUUGGGUAGCCAACAUCGUCCCUGUUCCCAAAAAAGAUGGAAAGGUACGAAUGUGUGUGGAUUAUAGGGAUUUAAACAAGGCUAGUCCAAAGGACAACUUUCCACUGCCUCACAUUGAUACUUUGGUAGAUAACACGGCGGGCUAUUCAUUGUUUUCUUUCAUGGACGAUUUCUCUGGAUACAAUCAAAUAAAGAUGCAUCCUGGAGACAUGAGGAAAACCACAUUCAUUACCUUAUGGGGAACAUUCUGUUACAAGGUAAUGCCCUUCGGAUUGAAGAAUGCGGGAGCAACGUAUCAAAGAGCUAUGGUGACUUUGUUUCACGACAUGAUGCACAAGGAGAUCGAAGUCUAUGUUGACGAUAUGAUCGCGAAGUCUAGAACGGAAGAAGAGCAUGUUCAGGUCUUGAAAAGGUUAUUUUUGAGAUUAAAGAAAUUUCAGCUCAAGCUUAACCCGGCCAAAUGCACGUUUGGAGCCAGAUCAGGGAAGUUAUUAGGCUUCAUAGUUAGCAAAAAGGGGAUCGAGGUUGACCCAGACAAAGUAAAGGAAAUACGAGAUUUACCUCCCCCGCGCACUCAGAAGGAGGUUCGAGGUUUCCUAGGGAGGCUGAAUUACAUUGCUCGGUUCAUCUCACAACUGACAGAGAAAUGUGAUCCAGUAUUCCGGCUCUUAAAGAAACAUAAUCCGGGCGAAUGGAAUGAAGAGUGUCAGAGGGCUUUCGAUAAGAUAAAGCAGUACUUGGCUAAUACUCUAGUCUUAUCACCUCCAAGUCCAGAUAGGCUAUUGAUAUUGUAUCUAACAGUGUUGGAGAAUUCCAUGGGAUGCGUAUUGGGCCAACAUGAUGAGACGGGAAAGAAAGAAAGGGCAAUAUACUAUCUCGGUAAGAAAUUUACCGAUUGCGAAAUGAGGUACUCAUCAAUUGAGAAGUUGUGUUGUGCUCUAAUCUGGGCAACCCGAAGACUGAGGCAGUAUAUGUUGUAUCACACAACUUGGUUGAUUUCAAAGUUAGAUCCUUUAAAAUAUAUGAUGGAAUCGACUGCUUUGAACGGGAGAAUGGCUAGAUGGCAGAUCUUGCUCUCAGAAUUUGAUAUAGUAUAUGUCAGUCAGAAGGCCAUAAAGGGAAGUGCAAUAGCCGAUUUCCUAGCUAGUAGAGCCUUGGAGGACUAUGAAUCUUUGAACUUCGAUUUUCCAAACGAGGACUUGAUGUAUGUGGCGAAUACUGAAGAAAAUCCUCAAAUGGAUCACGUAUGGAAGUUAAAUUUUGAUGGAGCUUCAAAUGCUACGGGUAAUGGAGUUGGGGCAGUUUUGGUAUCCCCAAGUGGAGAUCAUUAUCCUGUUGCUAGCAAGUUGGACUUCGAUUGUACAAAUAACAUGGCAGAAUAUGAAGCAUGUAUUAUGGGCAUUCGUGCAGCCAUUGAACGGAACAUCAAAGUACUGAGAGUAUACGGGGAUUCAGCGUUGGUGAUAUACCAACUCAAAGGGGAGUGGGAGACUAGAGAUCCUAAGCUGAUCGGUUAUAGAAAACUAGUUCUUGAAUUGGCUGAGGAGUUUGACGAUAUCACCUUCUAUUACCUCCCACGGGAGGAAAACCAAAUGGCUGAUGCAUUAGCUACUCUAGCUUCGAUGAUUCAGGUGAAUAGACUUGAGGCAAUGAGGCCUGUUCAGAUGAGUAUCUCUGAGACCCCGGCUAAUUGCUGCAAUAUUGAGGAGGAGGGAAAAGAUGAUUGUCCUUGGUAUCGGAGUAUCUUACAAUAUGUGAAGAAUCGGGAAUACCCUGAUCAAGCGACAGAGAAUGACAAAAGAACUCUGAGAAAGAGCAGAUCGAAGACACUAUCCUAUCUCCCUGAAGUUACAGUGGAGCGGAUUAAAAUAAAGGAUCUUAUCUCUCUGAGGUUACAGCAGAGUAGAUCGCAUCAAGUCUUAUUUCCCUGAAGAUGCAGUGGAACAGACUGAAAACAAUAAGGCGUGUCUCCUUAAAGUUGUAGCGGAGCGGACAGAAGAUAGUGAUUCUUAUCAUGUCUAAUCUUAUUCCCCUAAAGUUGUAGUAGAAUAGAUGGAAGCGAAGUCACAAACCUUGUCUCUCUGAAGUUGCAGUAAAGCAGGUUGAAGUCACGAAUCUUAUCCCCCUGAAGUUGUAGUGGGGCAAGUUGAAGAUAUGAGUCCGAUCUCCCCGAAGUUGCAGUGGAGCGGGUCAAAAUGAUGGACCUUACCCCCUGAAGCUACAAUAGAGUGGAUUGAAGCUACAAGUUUUGUCUUUUGGAAGUUACAGUGGAGUGGGUCGACGCAACAAGACACAGUGGACUAGAAUAAAGUUACUUGAAAAGAAGCGUCAAGAGAAGUCAAUACUCGGCAAAGACUGGACAAAAAUUGGUCUUUCUUAGUCUUUGCUCUGUUAUCGUUACACGACAACGAGCAAAGAGGGGCAGCUGUACAAGCCCAAUUUUUGACCCAGGGCCCAAUAACAAAUUUUAACCUAAAAAAACUACCCAGGCCCAACUAGCCUAACCCAAUCAGCCCAAAACAUAAACACCUAGCAGAAACCCUAGCCCCCUGUUGUGCCGCACCUGCUCCUGGCCGCCUCACCUGCUCCGCCGUUCACCUGCUUUCUGCCAUUGCCCAACUGCCCACCUGCAAACGAGUAAAGAAAGCAGCAACAACAACAAUGAAAAGAGGAGAAAUGACAGUGGUGUAAAAAAAAAUGGGUACACAAAUGGGUAUAUAAAAAAGGGCGGGGAUCACCGAAAGAGGGUCUUUUCCUUUUCUUUUGUAAUUUUUUCACAACACAACAGUUAAUGAAAAAAGGCAGAGAAAACAUUUAAAGGUGGAUUCAGACUUUUUAUUCUUUUUUUUGUUUGUUUUUAUGUUUGCUUGUUUAUAUAUAUACGAAUCUAUCUCAACAAAAACGAAAAUAAAAAAGAGAAAGAGAGAAACUCACCGGGGGGCUUUGAAAACCCGUCAUCGCACUUCGCCGGCCGUCGAUCUGGUGGCCGUGCGGCGGAUGUGCGAACGGUGGCAGCUAAGGAGGGCUUUUAAAAAAAACCCUAACAGAGAAAAAGCUAGAGGCUUUUUUUUUUUAUCUUCUAUUACAAAGUGUAUUUUUUAGGGGAAAUUUUAAUUUAAAUAGGAUCAGCUAAACGGCGCCGUUUUGGGUGGGAAAACCCCCGCGCGCGACCCGACCCGCGUCUCAGGAUCCACGUGUUUUGAUGAUUGGGUUAUUUACCCAUUUGGCCCUUCCGCCCUUUUGGGGUGUUUCAAUCUAGUCCUAUUUACAUUUUUAGAUUUUAUAAUUUUCGCCCAAAUUAUUUUUAGCGUUUUUGAUUUAGUCUUGCACUCAUAGAAUGGACACGUGUCCUAAUAAUUGGGAUAUUUUCCGUUUUGGCCCUCCGUCCUUUCGCGCGAGUCACAUUUUGGUCCUUUUCGUCCUUUUUAUUCCAAAUUCGCCCGGUAUUUCCUUUUUUUAUUUUAUUUCGAUUUAGCCCUUUUUUAGUCGCUUUAUUAUUUUGUUUAUUUUAUUAUUAUUAUUAUUAUUAUUAUUAUUAUUUACUAUUAUUAUCUUUACUAUUAUUGUUAGUAUUAUUACUACUAUUAUUAUUACUAUCAUUAUAUUUACACCUAUAUUUACUUAUAUAAAUCUUAGAUAAUAGGUGAUAUAUUAUAUUAUUAUAAAAUUGCGUAUAUACGUACAUGUAUAUGUAUUCUUUUAACUUAUUUAAUAUAUACAUACAAAAUCAUAUUUUCGUAUAUUUUUUAAUUUGUAUAUACAUAUACUUAUAUCUAUAUUUUCUAAUUUUUAUAAAUAUAUUUAUAUGUACAUACUUAUAUUUUUUAUAUACUUUCUAAUUCGUAUAUACCUAUUUACAUCUAUAUUUUUAAUAUAUUUUAAACAUAUAUAUAAAUAUCACUAUUUACUUUUUUAUUUUUAUUUUUUAUUAUUAUUUUCAAAUUUUGAUGUAUACUUACAUAUAUAUAUCUUUACAUUUUUAUAAUUUUAUUCAUUUAUUUAUUUACAUUUUCAUUAUUAUUUUGAACGAAUGCUUUAAUUUUAUUUGCUUGUAUACAUUGCUAUUUCGUAUGUUAUUGGUCUGUACCUUUUAUUUUUCUUAUUUUCGUUGCUAUUACUUGCAUUGUUUUUACAUCAUCGUAUUCAUAUUUAUUUAGUUACGCAUAUUAACAUCGUAUCUUAUUUUUACUGUUUCGUGAAAAAAAUAUUUCAUUCAAUGUAUGAAUUAUAACUUUUUGAGUAAACAAAAUUUCGUGUUUAGAUUUGAGAAAGUCGUACCCUAACUUACUGGGUUUCGACUUUCACAACAAAUCUAAAGACACGAAUCUUUUUAAACUCAAAUUUUAAAUGAUCUCGGGAUUAAAAAUCGCGUCCUAACUUACUGGUCGUGAUCUCAUUUUCAAAUCCGAGAUGGCUAAACCUAUCUUUUAAAUAAGCAUUUUUAUUCGCGUAUCGAGAACUCGAGACGUUGUAUCCUAACUCACUGGAUAUGAUGUCUUUUCUCGAUUAACGUGAAAUAUGCCACUUUUUCCAAGAUUUUCAACUUUUUAAUACAAAGAUCAUAUUUUUAAAAUUCUUUUAAAUUCUCAAUUUUCGACAUUAAGACAUUAAGUAAUCAACUAGGUACCAAUUUUGGGCGUAUCGAGGGUGCUAAUCCUUCCUCGUGCGUAACCGACUCCCGAACCCGUUUUCUAAAUUUCGUGGACCAAAACCGUUGUUUUAAUAAAAUCAAACCGUUUAUUAAAAACAACCCCUCUUCGAGGUGAUCCAAUCGCACCUCAUAAAAAAAAAAGAGGAUUGGUGGCGACUCCCGUUUCUUUUUUCAAAACCCAAGUCAACCCCGUUUUUCAUCCAAAAAAUGGUGUCAACAGAGAGGAGGAGGAAAAUAAAUUUAUGAAUAUUAUGCUCGCAUGGAUUUGCAUUUCAAAUGGUUAAUUUGCAUGAUUUGGGCUCGAGGACUAAAUUGAAUAAAAGUAAAACUUUAGGGGUAAUUUUGGAAAAAUGUCAAAAAAUGACUAAAUUCCAUGAAAUGAAUUGUUUUAUUAUUUAAAUUACUAAAUUGAAUGAAAUAUUAAUUUAGAUCAAUAUUGGGUGGAAAUUCGUGAAAAAUAGAAAUUUUUUAAAAUGUCCCUGAAUUUUGGUAUUUCUGCAAUUUAGCCUGGUAAGUUCUUAUGAACUAUAUUUUGUAUAAUUUUAAUUGAAUUGAAUGCUAUUUGGUAAUGAAUAUUAUAUAUAUAUGUGUGUUUGGAAUUGAUUUAUUAUUGGAUGUUUUGAAAUGAUUAUCGGAAGCUCGAUUGGGUUGGAAGCUUGUUGGAGAUAUAUCACAUUGUCCAUUGGUUCUAUCGGAAAUUUUGGAUGAUUUGAUUCUGGUUAUUGUAUAAGUUAAAUUGGUUAAUGUUAGCUCAUAAAAGUUUUGAUUUUGAUUGGUUAUAAAUAUGAAUGCUUGAUGAAAUGAAAUGUCUGAAAAUUAAUUUGUAAACUCCGAUAAUGCUCUAUAACCCUAUUCUGGGGAAGGAUACGGGUUAGGGGUGUUACAAAAAGCCUUCUCCUCUUGCCCUAUUACGGAUUGGAUUGAGAGCACCAAAGCCAAUGAGAACACAACCAAAAAAAACUUUUGCCAUCCUUUUUAUUUUCUAAAAAGGUUAAGAAAUAAGUAAAGAUAUAUUUUUAUUGAUGCUUAAGGAUGAAGAUGAGACAAAAUUUAAAGAUUUUAAAAUGAGACAUUUUGGGCGAAUUUAGGGGUCGUUGACUAGUCCAGUGCCUAAUAGCCAUACACGACAAAAAUACAUAUAACUUCUCUCCACAUUUUCAAUGGUGAUGUUUAUCACUAUUAUUGGUGGGUUCAAUUUACUUCACUUUGUUUCACUUGAAGACAUUGUGGGUGAUCAUUAAUGUGUUUUAAAAUCAUUCUGACCUUCCCUGUUUGCAUCAUCUGCACCAAUAAAAAACACUCCUUCUCCUUUUAUAGGUCAAUUUUUUUCAUGAAGCAACUUUAAACGUUACUAAUUUGUGGACCAAAAUCUAAAUAGCUUUCUUCUUCUAUAAUGAAGAUUGACUGUUAAAAAGAAUGUUCUUCUACUUGUCUAUAGGUAUCGAUCAUAGCACUGAUUGCCAAAUCAUUGCUUAGAGCUUGCUACCUAGACUUUUCAAAAAAAAAAGUCAAAUGACUAGGCCCGUUCUUGACAUUUUUGAGACCCUAGGCGGAACAAUAAAUUGGGGCCCCUUUUAAAAAAAUUAAAAAAUGUUAUGCAACAAAUAAAAAAAAUUGAGGCCAUUUUUUGAUCCCGUAAGAGCUUCUACUUUUGAUUCUGGAGAAGCUGCCACCCUUGAACUCAACAGUACCCUGUCAGCUUCCAAAGAUGCUGCCUCAUCAAAAGCCUUCUCCUCUUGUCCUACUACAAAUUGGAUUGAGAGCACCAAAGCCAUUGAGAACACAACCAAAAAAACCUUCACAAUCUUUUUUAUUUUCUAAAAUGGUUAAGAAAAAAAAAGUAAACAUAUAUUUUUAUUUAUGCUUAAGGUUGAAAAUGAGACGAAAUUUAAAGAGUUUAAAAUGAGAUAUUUUGGGCGAAUUUAGGGGUGGUUGACUAGUCUAGUGCCUAAUAACCAUACAUGACAAAAAUACAUAUAACUUUUCUCCACAUUUUCAAUGGUCAUGUUUGUCACAAUUUUUGGUGGUUUAAAUUUACUUCUUUUUGUUUCACUCGAAUACGUCGUGGGUGAUCGUUUAAAUUUUUUUAUUUUAUAAUUUUCACAUAUUUUUUUCAUUUAUUUAAAAUUUCAACCAAACAAAUUUUCUCAAUUUUUUUUCUACUUUUAGGAAAACAAAAAGAAAAAGAAAUCUUUAAUUUCUGAAACUAAAUAUACCCUAAACCUUUGCCUCCGACUCAUAAGAUAUUAAGAAUAAGGUAAUUAUUUGGUACACACGAAAUGUAAGUUUUUUAUUCCACAUAUGAAGUUGGGAUUUUGCCUCUUAUCAUAUAUAUAUUUAAUUUUUUGAAUAUAAAUUAAAUAAUAAAUAAUAAAAUCUCAACUAUAUUUAUGAAAUAAAAACCUUUCACCGUCACACCGAACAUUUCCCCUCGUGAUAUCACAAUAGUCUUUGUAAUCAUACUGACAAUCAUAAUGACAAAAGAAAGAAAAAGCUACGGGAUAUGAUAUUCACUACCCUCCAGUUAUGAGACUAUACAUAAUAUCGAUUGGAAGAAAUCGAAUUCAUAAAAAAUCCUACAAACUUAAUAGGUGUUUUUUUCAAGUAAGAAUAAUAAAUUUAGGGUCGAAAUUAAAUAGUAAUUUUUAUGAUAGUAAAAAUAUAAAUUUUAAAAGAUUAAAUCAAAAUUUUAUCAUUUUUAAAAAGUUAAAGUGCAACUUUCCUUUUACUAAUUUAAAAUUUUAAAAAUUUCUAAAAAGUCUAAAAGUAAAUGAUAAUAGAAUAAUUCUAAAAUCUGUCAUAUGCGCCAACUUGAGUUCUUGCGUCAAAUAUUUCGUGCUAUUUGCAUAUCCGCUCAUUUCUCGACACAUUGCAUAAUAAUUAUAAUUACUUAGAACAUGAUUAAAUGCCAAAUUAGAUAAAAUCCAUGUCAAAAAAUAAUCAAAAUAAAUAAUAAAAAUAUAUCGAUUAGCUGCAUUAUCAAUGUGUAAACCUAAUUUAAUGUCAAACUUAAAAGUUAAAAAUUUUCUUAUAUAUAAUGGUCAAACUAAAUUAUUGUUAAAUAUUAUAAAUAUUGAUAAUUAAUAAUAGUGUCCACACAUGAUUUUAAUAUUAAUGGUCAUAAUGUGUCAAACAAUUAAAAUAUUGACUUGUAAGAUUGUUUCCUUAAAUAUUGUAUAUAUUCGAGUUUUGCUAUUGUUGGGAGAAAAAAGUGAAAGGGUCUCGGCUCUCAGUAGUGUUGUGGAACUAAACUUUAAAUGUGGCUAAUUGUCUUGCAAGUCUUCCUUAUUUAUUAUUUUCUUUUUAUUCUCCUUCAACUGACUACAUUGUGUUUAAACAAACCCUUAAUCUAUUUUUGUAGUUAAAUAAGCCCUUAACUUGAUUUUUACUCAUAAAAUCCAUUUAUUUUAAUAUUAAAUUAAAUAUGUUUUACCCAUAUUAAAGGGCUUUUUAGUAUUUUAGCCCUGCUAGACUGUAUGUUGUAGAACCUGACACCUACAUUGCAGAAAUUGUUUGAUUAUUUUCAAUGCAUAAGAACCAAUGAAAACAUAGAUGGAAGGCUAAUAUACUAAAAGGUGCUUAAUCUAUUACACUUUGUUUAAACAAGCUUUUAUACUGUUUUUGUAGUUAAAUAGGCCCUCAAACUAUGAUUUUUACCCAUGAAAGUCCUAAAUUUUAAUAUUAAAGUAAUACUAUUUAAAAAAUAUAUAAAUUAAUUCGCAUUCUAUGUUGAUAUGAAUUUGAUGAGAAUAGUUUAUUAAAAAAAAUAAAAAUUUAAAAUUUGUUGAGAGUGCUUAUAUACAUGACAUGCUUAAUUACUAUUUUGAAAUUGCUGAUUACUUUUUUAGAUUUUAUGUUUCUGUUAAAGUGUAUAUAAUUUUUAUUGCAUCAACAAGAAAUUAAGAUGAGAGCUUGAAAUUCAAAAUAUAUUUACUUUAAUAUUAAAAUAAAAGACUUUUAUGUGUAAAACCCAUAGGUUAAGAGCUUAGUUAACUACAAAAAAAAGUUAAGGGCUUGUUUAAACACAAUAUAAUGAGUUGAAGGGGAAUAAAAAGAAAAAAUAUAUAACGAUGGUUUACAAGGCAAUUAGCCACAUUUAAGCGGCUCCCUUUCACUUCUUUUUCCAAUAGUCACUUAAAAUGGAAAUUUGCACUUCAAAUCCCUAAAUACUUUAAAUUAUUACAUCUCCGUUUGAUACCACUUGACACUAACAAAACAGUACAGUAAAAAACAUACCAUUUUGAUGUAUAUAUAUAUUCGGUUUUGUUAUUGUUUUUAACAUCGGCUUUUAAUUUAUCACAAUUUUUGGAUAAUUUAAAAAAAAUAAUAAUUAUAUUUUAAUUUAACAUAUAGAAAUUAAUGAGUCCUUGCAAAGCAAGAAUGUGUGUGACAGCGUGAUGAAUUUUUUCCCACACAAAAUCCAAAAGGAAUUAGGAAUCUUCAAAUUCGUCGGCCCAAACGUCACCCUUUUUCAGUGCUUCUCAUCAUUUAUAAAAACACUUCGAUUUCCUUUCUUUACUCCAAAUCCGACGUUCGUAAAAAAAGACCAGGUGAACUACCUACGCGCCGCCGUCACCACCAUGUCACAGCCUCAUUUCCUCCUAGUGACCUUCCCUGCACAAGGCCACAUAAACCCAACCUUACAAUUUGCCAAGCAUCUUAUACGUAUUGGCGUACGUGUAACUUUCAUCACCUGCAUCUCCGCUCGCCGCCGCAUGAGCAAAGUCCCCACUGCUCAAGGCCUAACGUUUUUACCCUUUUCCGAUGGCUACGACGACGGUUUUCAACCCGGCGAUGACAUAGACCAUUACCUAUCUGAAUUCAGGCGACGAGGCAAAGAAGCCAUCUCCGAGUUUAUAACAAGCAGUGAAAACGAAGGCAAACCCGUCACUUGCAUUGUCUACACCCUGUUCAUCCAUUGGGCCUCGGAGGUGGCGCGUAAACAUCACAUCCCGACAGCUUUACUUUGGAUUCAACCCGCCACCGUUUUCGACAUCUAUUAUUUUUACUUCAACGGAUACGAAACUACCUUUAAAGCUCAAGCUGAUGAAACAAACCCCCAGCGUUCAAUAAAAUUACCAGGUCUGCCGCUACUCGCCACCCGCGACCUUCCGUCGUUCCUAACCGCUUUAAACGUUUACCGUUGGGCACUGUCGUUAAUCCAAGAAAAAAUGGACGUCCUCGCUGAUGAAUCCAACCCCAAAAUCCUUGUUAACACAUUCGAUGCUUUGGAACACGAAGCAUUAAACGCCAUUGAAAAUUUCAACAUGGUCGGCAUCGGACCUUUAAUCCCAUUUUCUUUCUUGAACUCAAAUGACUCCUUGGAUAAUUCCUUGAGAACCGAUCUUUUUCAAUCCGAUUCAAAAGAUUACCUCCAAUGGUUAGACUCGAAACCAAAAUCGGCCGUCGUUUACGUUUCCUUCGGGAGCAUUGCGGUGUUAACGAAGCAACAAGUGGAGGAAAUCGCUCGAGCUUUAAUAUCCAGCCGGCGACCGUUUUUAUGGGUGGUGAGGAACCGGAAAGAUGGAGGCUACGAAGAGAAAGAAGAAGAUAAACUGACUUGCAGGGAAGAAUUGGAACAGUUUGGGAUGGUGGUUCCAUGGUGUUCGCAAGUGGAAGUACUGUUUCAUCCAUCCUUGGGUUGCUUCGUGACGCAUUGUGGGUGGAACUCGACGUUGGAGAGCAUGGUGGCCGGUGUACCAGUGGUGGCUUUCCCUCAAUGGACGGAUCAAAGGACUAAUGCGAAGCUGAUUGAAGAUGUGUGGGGGAAUGGGGUAAGAGUGAGUGCUAAUGAAGAAGGGAUCGUGGAACGGGAUGAGAUCGUUAGGUGCUUGGAUUUGGUGAUGGGGGAUGAUGAGAAAGGGAUGGAAGUGAAGAAAAAUGUAGAGAAAUGGAAAGGGUUAGCCACUGGAGCCGCCAUGGAAGGCGGCUCCAUGGAUAUGAACCUUAAAGCUUUUGUGGAUGAUAUUGCUGAAGGUUGUCGUAAGUAAAAUUAUCACUUUCAAAUCAAUUCAAUGUUUCAAUUCAAUUACCUGUAAUGUACUAUGCGUGCAAUUAUAGAUUUAAUAUAUAUUCUUUAAUUGAAUCAUUUUAAGUCACUAUUUUUUUCGAAUUCUAAAAUUUCCAUCUCGACACAAAUGAUAGUCACUAAUCCAUUAACUAAAAUUUCAAUAAGUAAUAUGUGAAAAUCGCAAACUGAAAUGCUAUUACACAUAUCAUAAUAUGUUUUGUUGCAUUAAAUUUUGAAAAUAACAGAAUUUAAUGAAUUUAACAAUUAUCGUUUAGUAAAGACUGAAAUUUUAAAAUUUUAAAAGUAAUAGAAUUAAAAAUAACCCAAUUAAAGUAUAAAUAUUAAAUCUACAAUUUUUAUAAAGUAAGACCAAUAAUAAAAUUUAAUAUUGUUUUUUUCUUGAAAGAAAUUGGAAGUGACCAUUAAGUACAAUAUGUGAUAGGGAUGGGAGAAUAUGAAUGGUGUGAUAGAUUUUGAAUGUAGGAAACAAACUUUUUUGAAAUGUGGUUGUAAGAUGGAGUGGGUUGGAUUUUUGUGUGUGUGGUCAAUGUGUAAUUCUUUGCCUUUAUAAAAGUAUCAUUUUAUCCAUUUAAUAUGUAUAACUAUUUAAAUAUGUAGAAAUGUGAAAAUGUAUUAUAGAAAAGCCUUUAUUUUUAAUUAAUGAGCUCUAACCGAUGAUUUAACAAUCAUAUGGUGGAUUAGUACUCAUCGACGAGUAGAGGAAAUCGCUUGAGCUUUAUUAUCCAGCUGACAACCGUUUUUAUGGGUGGUGAGGAACUGGAAAGAUGGAGGCUACGAAGAGAAAGAAGAAGAUAAACUGACUUGCAGGGAAGAAUUGGAACAGUUUGGGGUGGUGCUUCCAUGGUGUUUGCCAGUGGAAGUAUUGUCUCAUCGUCGUUGGAUUGCUUCGUGACACAUUGUGGGUGAAACUCGACGUUGGAAAGCAUGGUGGCCAUUGUACCAGUGGUGGCUUUCCCUCAAUGGACGGAUCAAGGGACUAAUGCGAAGCUGAUUGAAGAUGUGGGGGGAAUGGGGUGAGAGUGAGUGCUAAUGAAGAAGGGAUCAUGAAACGUGAUGAGAUUGUUAGGUGCUUGGGUUUGGUGAUGGGGGAUGAGGAGAAAGGGAUGCAAGUGAAGAAGAAUGUUGUGAAAUGGAAAGGGUUAGCGGAGAGGCCGCCAUGGAAGGUGGUUCCUUGGAUAUCAACCUUAAAGUUUUUGUGGAUGAUGUUGCUCAAGGUUGUUGCAAGUAAAUUUAUCUUUUCAUAUAAUUAUCUCCAUUUAUAUUUCGAAUUCUUAAAUCAAGAAAUAAUAUUUUUAAAAACGAUCAAAUUCCUCUUAACUGUUGUAAUAAUAAUAAUAAUAAUAUCAAAUUAAUGAUCUAAAAUUCGAUGGAAUGUUACAAAUAAAUUUCUAAUUUAUGUUUGUAUUAAAUUUAUGCUUAAAUUAAUUUUGGCCUAUGGUGUAAGUUUUUUUUAAAAAAAUUUUAAUGGCCAAAUUUAAUUAAUAACAUCAACAAUUGAAUUUUAAAUUUUAAGUCAAACUAAGAGACUAAAAUUUAAAAAUUAAAAGUAGUGGAUUAAAUUUUUAAAAAAAUUGCAAAAGAGUACAAGAAUUGGAGGUAUACUUAAAAAAAAUAUUAAAAUUUUCUUUUCUCCUCCAAUAAUAGAAUCUAAAGCUACGCACCUUUAUAAAAAUUAAAAAAAGAAUUAAUUGUCCAAGAUAAAUAUUAAAUAAUAAUAUUUAUGGACUUGAGUACAUGAAAUUUAUUGUUGGUCAUUUAAUUUAUCAUUUAACAAUUACUUUUGUUUUGGCUAUUGAGAAAAUUUUCUAGCCCUUAUAAUGUGUAUAUAUAUAUCUCCAUAUUAUUGGAUGUGUUUCUUUUUAUUAAAUUACAUAGCCUAAGGUUGCUUAUUGCGAUUAUGGUAAUUUGCUGCACCAUCCCCUGACUAAUUCUUCUCAUUUUUAGUGUUAGCAUUCUCCUACUUAAAAUCAGGGUCUCAUGUUGCUUUUUGAGCGUCAUUAUACCAUUCUCCUCUUUAACCCGCCGAAAAAUUCUGCUUUCGAUUCUGGAGAAGCUGCCACCCUUGAAGUCAAAAGUACCCUGUCAGCUUCCAAAGAUGCUGCCUCAUCAAAAGCCUUCUCCUCUUGUCCUACUACAAAUUGGAUUGAGAGCACCAAAGCCAUUGAGAACACAACCAAAAAAACCUUCACAAUCUUUUUUUAUUUUCUAAAAUGGUUAAGAAAAAAAAGUAAACAUAUAUUUUUAUUUAUGCUUAAGGUUGAAAAUGAGACGAAAUUUAAAGAGUUUAAAAUGAGAUAUUUUGGGCGAAUUUAGGGGUGGUUGACUAGUCUAGUGCCUAAUAACCAUACACGACAAAAAUACAUAUAACUGUUCUCCACAUUUUCAAUGGUCAUGUUUGUCACAAUUUUUGGUGGUUUAAAUUUACUUCUUUUUGUUUCACUCGAAUACGUUGUGGGUGAUCGUUUAAAUUUUUUUAUUUUAUAAUUUUCACAUAUUUUUUUCAUUUAUUUAAAAUUUCAACCAAACAAAUUUUCUCAAUUUUUUUUUCUACUUUUAGGAAAACAAAAAGAAAAAGAAAUCUUUAAUUUCUGAACCUAAAUAUACCCUAAACCUUUGCCUCCGACUCAUAAGAUAUUAAGAAUAAGGUAAUUAUUUGGUACACACCAAAUGUAAAUUUUUUAUUAAGUUGGGAUUUUGCCUCUUAUCAUAUAUAUAUAUAUAUAAUAUAAUUUUUUGAAUAUAAAUUAAAGAAGAAAUAAUAAAAUCUCAACUUGAUUUAUGAAAUAAAAGCCUUUCACCGUCCUACCGAACGAACAUUUCCCCUCGUUGUAUCACAAUAAUCAUUGUAAUCAUAAUGACAAUCAUAAUGACAAAAGAAAGAAAAAGCUGUGGGGUAUGAUAUUCACUACCCUCCAAUUAUGAGACUUAUAAUAGAGGGGAAUUAAGAAAAAAAAUUUUAGAGUCGAAAUUAAAUAGUAAUUUUUAUGGUAGUAAAAAUAUAAAUUUUAAAGGAUUAAAUUAAAAUUUUAUUGUUAAAAAAAAAGUUAAAGUGCAACUUUUCUUUUACUAAUUUAAAAUUUUAAAAUUUUUUAAAAAGUCUAAAAAAUAAAUGAUAAUAGAAUAAUUCUAAAAUCUUUGUCAUAUGCGCCAACUUGAGUUUUUGCGUCAAAUAUUUCGUGCUAUUUGUAUAUCCGCUCAUUUCUUGACACAUUACAUAAUAAUUAUAACUACUUAUAACAUGAUUAAAUUCCACGUUCUUAAAAGUAGAUUAACUACCUACGCGCCGCCGUCACCACAAAAUAUUUUAUAUUCGGUUUUGCAAUUGCUUUUAACUUCGGUCACAAACAAAAUUUUUUACUUACACAAACAAAAUUUUUUACUUAGUUAUUAAUAAUAAAAGUGGAUUAUUUUAUUAAAAAAUAAUUUAUAUUUUAUUUACGUUGUAUAAUAAUUAUAUCUACAUAAAAAAUAAUCGAUUAAAUUUCAAAUUACGUAAAAUUUAUUUCCAAAAUUAAUUAAUAUAAUUCAUAAAAAUACUUCGUAUUAUCAAUGUGUCAACUUAGUUUAAUGUCAAACUUAAAAAAAUGUAUAAUGUGAACAUGGCUAAAAAUUUUCUUUUUUAGAUAAAACCUUAAAAUAAUAUUUUACGGAUUUUUACUUAUAUAAUAUAAAAAAUUGAAAUUAAUAACUAAAAUAGCAUGCCCAUGAGAUUAUUUACCAAAAUGGUAUGUUUACUAUGGUGUUUUACUGGUGCCUCUUGUCAAAUUAGCAGUACCAAACUGAAAUGUAAUGAUCUAAAGUAUUUAGGGAUCGCAAAUUUUUCAUUUUGAGUGGUUGUUGGAGACAAAAGUGAAAUGGUGUCGAAUGUCAGUAGUGUUGUGGAACUAGACCUUAAAUGUGGCUAAUUUGCUUGCAAGCCCUCAUUAUUUGUUAUUUUCUUUUUAUUCCCUUUCAACUCACUACAUUGAGUUUAAACAAACCCUUAACUUAUUUUUGUAGUUAAAUAAGUCCUUAACUUGAUUUUUACUCAUAAAAUCCCUUUAUUUUAAUAUUAAAGUAAAUAUGUUAUACCCAUAUUAAAGGGCUUUUUAGUAUUUUAGCCCUGCUAGACUAUAUGUUGUUGAACCUGACACUUACAUUGCAGAAAUUGUUUGAUUAUUUUCAAUGCAUAAGAACCAAUGAAAACAUAGAUGGAAUGCUAAUAUACUAAAAAAUGUUUAAACAAGCUUUUAUACUGUUUUUGUAGUUAAAUAGGCCCUCAAAUUAUGAUUUUUACCCAUAAAAGUCCUAAAUUUUAAUAUUAAAGUAAAACUAUUUAAAAAAUAUAUAAACUAAUUCGUAUUUUAUGUUGAUAUGAAUUUGAUGAGAAUAGUUUAUUAAAUAAAAAAUAAAAAAUUAAAAUUUGUUUAGAGUGCUUAUAUACAUGACAUGCUUAAUUACUAUUCUGAAAUUUCUGAUUACUUUUUUAGAUUUUAUGUUUAUGUUAAAUUGUAUAUAAUUUUUAUUGCAUCAACAAGAAAUUAAGAUAAGAGCUUGAAAUUCAAAAUAUAUUUACUUUAAUAUUAAAAUAAAGAGCUUUUAUGAGUAAAACCUAUUGGUUAAGAGCUUAUUUAACUACAAAAAAAAGUUAAGGGCUUGUUUAAAUACGAUAUAAUGAGUUGAAGGGGAAUAAAAAGAAAAUAAUAUAUAAUGAUGGUUUACAAGGCAAUUAGCCACAUUUAAGCAGCACCAUUUCACUUCUUUUUCCGGUAGUCACUUAAAAUGGGAAUUUGCACUUCAAAUCCCUAAAUACUUUAAAUUAUUACAUUUCAGUCUGAUACCACCUGACACCAACAAAACAGUACAAUAACAGACAUACCAUUUUGAUGUAUAUAUAUUCGGUUUUGCUAUUGUUUUUAACUUCGGCUUUUAAUUUGUCACAAAAUUUUUGGAUAAUUUUUUUAAAAAAUUAAUUAUAUUUUAAUUUAACAUAUAGAAAUUAAUGAGUCCCUACAACAAGAAUGUGUGUGAUGACAACGUGAUGACUGUUUCUCCACGAAUUAGGAAUCUUCAAAUUCGUCAGGCCAAACGUCACCCUUUCAGUGCUUCUCAUCAUUUAUAAAAACACUUCGAUUUCCUUUCUUAGUUACUCCAAAUCCGAUGUUAGUAAAAAAAGACCAGGUGAACUACCUACGCGCCGCCGUCACCACCAUGUCACAGCCUCAUUUCCUCCUAGUGACCUUCCCUGCACAAGGCCACAUAAACCCAACCUUACAAUUUUCCAAGCAUCUUAUACGUAUUGGCGUACGUGUAACUUUCAUCACCUGCAUCUCCGCUCGCCGCCGCAUGAGCAAAGUCCACACUGCUCAAGGCCUAACGUUUUUACCCUUUUCCCAUGGCUACAACGACGGUUUUCAACCCGGCGAUGACAUAGACCAUUACCUAUCUGAAUUCAGGCGACGAGGCAAAGAAGCCAUCUCCGAGUUUAUAACAAGCAGUGAAAACGAAGGCAAACCCGUCACUUGCAUUGUCUACACCCUGUUCAUCCAUUGGGCCUCGGAGGUGGCGCAUAAACAUCACAUCCCGACAGCUUUACUUUGGAUUCAACCCGCCACCGUUUUCGACAUCUAUUAUUUUUACUUCAACGGAUACGAAACUAC